rnacentral:rRNA from 1 species
UACGAAGGGGACUAGCGUUGUUCGGAAUUACUGGGCGUAAAGCGCGCGUAGGCGGAUCGCUAAGUUAGGGGUGAAAUCCCAGGGCUCAACCCUGGAACUGCCUUUGAUACUGACGAUCUGGAGAUCGGGAGAGGUUGGUGGAAUUCCGAGUGUAGAGGUGAAAUUCGUAGAUAUUCGGAGGAACACCAGAAGCGAAGGCGGCCAACUGGCCCGAUACUGACGCUGAGGCGCGAAAGCGUGGGGAGCAAACAGG